AAACGAGAAUAAAACGUGAAGGAUAACGUUGCGUCAGCAACGGCCCGUAGGGCGAGGCGAAGCCGAGUCAUCCUGCACGACCCACCA
rnacentral:sRNA from 5 species